AGCGGGGAAGGGUAGCUUGCUACCUGACCUAGCGGCGGACGGGUGAGUAAUGCUUAGGAAUCUGCCUAUUAGUGGGGGACAACAUUCCGAAAGGAAUGCUAAUACCGCAUACGCCCUACGGGGGAAAGCAGGGGAUCUUCGGACCUUGCGCUAAUAGAUGAGCCUAAGUCAGAUUAGCUAGUUGGUGGGGUAAAGGCCUACCAAGGCGACGAUCUGUAGCGGGUCUGAGAGGAUGAUCCGCCACACUGGGACUGAGACACGGCCCAGACUCCUACGGGAGGCAGCAGUGGGGAAUAUUGGACAAUGGGCGAAAGCCUGAUCCAGCCAUGCCGCGUGUGUGAAGAAGGCCUUUUGGUUGUAAAGCACUUUAAGCGAGGAGGAGGCUACUUAGAUUAAUACUCUAGGAUAGUGGACGUUACUCGCAGAAUAAGCACCGGCUAACUCUGUGCCAGCAGCCGCGGUAAUACAGAGGGUGCGAGCGUUAAUCGGAUUUACUGGGCGUAAAGCGUGCGUAGGCGGCUUCUUAAGUCGGAUGUGAAAUCCCUGAGCUUAACUUAGGAAUUGCAUUCGAUACUGGGAAGCUAGAGUAUGGGAGAGGAUGGUAGAAUUCCAGGUGUAGCGGUGAAAUGCGUAGAGAUCUGGAGGAAUACCGAUGGCGAAGGCAGCCAUCUGGCCUAAUACUGACGCUGAGGUACGAAAGCAUGGGGAGCAAACAGGAUUAGAUACCCUGGUAGUC
rnacentral:rRNA from 1 species